rnacentral:misc_RNA from 1 species
UUUCCGUAGGUGAACCUGCGGAAGGAUCAUUAAUGAGUUGUCAUGGGGUUCGAUGCUGGCAGCCAAUUUUAGGAUGCAUGUGCUUGCCCUAACAAUCAUCUUCCAAACACCUGUGCACAUUUUUGAGGGAGUCUUGAGUUGGUUGCCGCUCUUGGGUGAUUUUCUCACAUUCCCUUAAAUCAUUAUACGCUAUUAACAAUGUUGAACGUGCUCUGUGCCGCAAGGCUAUUAAUAUAAUACAACUUUUAACAACGGAUCUCUUGGCUCUC